GACGAACGCUGGCGGCGUGCUUAACACAUGCAAGUCGAACGGAAAGGCCCUGCUUUUGUGGGGUGCUCGAGUGGCGAACGGAUGAGUAACACGUGAGUAACCUGCCCUUGACUUUGGGAUAACUUCAGGAAACUGGGGCUAAUACCGGAUAGGAGCUCCUGCUGCAUGGUGGGGGUUGGAAAGUUUCGGCGGUUGGGGAUGGACUCGCGGCUUAUCAGCUUGUUGGUGGGGUAGUGGCUUACCAAGGCUUUGACGGGUAGCCGGCCUGAGAGGGUGACCGGCCACAUUGGGACUGAGAUACGGCCCAGACUCCUACGGGAGGCAGCAGUGGGGAAUAUUGCACAAUGGGCGGAAGCCUGAUGCAGCAACGCCGCGUGCGGGAUGAUGGCCUUCGGGUUGUAAACCGCUUUCGCCUGUGACGAAGCGUGAGUGACGGUAAUGGGUAAAGAAGCACCGGCUAACUACGUG
rnacentral:rRNA from 1 species